ensembl:snRNA U4 U4 spliceosomal RNA
AUCCCUUCGCAGAGGCAAUUUCAUAGUCGAGGAAGUUGUACUGAGACGUGAUUAUUGCUGGUUGAAAACUUAACCCAAUACCCCUGCCGAGAUGACUUGAAAUAUAGUUCAGCUAUGGCAAUUUUUGCCAGUCUCUAAGGAGA